CACUUACUGAAGCUUCCAAGACAAAAAGCACCACCGUGAAUAUAAAUCACAGCUCGUUUCGGGGUUUCUGACUUCUUCUUUGGUUUUAGGAUUACCUUCACCCCUGGCUAUCUGCUUCUGUACAGACAGACAGAUUUGGACACCCUACACAGGUUCUAUGAAUAGGAAUGACUCAAUGGCAAUGGGUUGAAUCAGAACUCUUCGUUACAAAAUUCUGUCAUAAGAAGGACAUAAAUGAAGA